rnacentral:rRNA from 1 species
UACGUGAGGGGCGAACGUUGUUCGGUGUCACUGGGCUUAAAGGGUGCGUAGGUGGUUGCGUAAGUAACGUGUGAAAUCCCUCGGCUUACCCGGGGAAUUGCAUGUUAUACUGCGUGACUUGAGGGUCAGAGGGGAAUGGGGAACUCCAGGUGUAGCGGUGAAAUGCGCAGAUAUCUGGGGGAAGGCCGGCGGCGAAGGCGCCAUUCUGGCUGAUACCUGACACUGAGGCACGAAAGCGUGGGGAGCAAACAGG